AGUUACAAAGUUUCAUCAUUAUACUCAGACACUUCCUGUACGUCAGGUCACACACCGAGCCAUAGAUUUAUUUACCUCUGUGGUUAUGGGUUAUACUGAAACCCACUUUCUACAAAUAGUGUACUCCGAGAGAGAAAGAGAGAAAGAAAGGGGGGGGGGGGCGCUUCAGAAAGGGCAUCUUCCUCCACAGAGCGGGGAAUUAAUUCUGUGGCCCAUCAUGCAGGGUGACAUUCAUCAGAAGUUCUGCUUGUUACUUGUUUCAUACAGAAACAAAAGAGAGAAGAGGCACAGGCUUCGGGAUUAUUUCUGAAAACCAUUUCCAAGUGAUGUACAGACUCAUUGGAAAAUGGUAGCUUGCUUUGAUUAGGACACAUCACUAUAUAGAAAAGCGGUGUUUUUAGAAUUCCUGGGUCUGACACUUUGUGCCCACGCUCUUCAGGGGGUCUUGAGUUCCUCUCCUCAGUGAUUUUGCAAAGGUCAGAAAAAAGUUACCUGGUUCUUCUAGGAAAGAUGAGAGAUCCUCAGAUCCCCAAGAUGCAGGGUAACUAACGCUAUAUAAGCUGUGAUCUGGCUACCAGUGCUGUGAACAGGCACUGGAUUUCGGAUUUCAACAGGAGAGACCAUUUUUCAGUGUGGGGUCCCGUGAAAAGAUGCAUUCACAGCCCAAAGUGAGAGAUUGAUUUUCUUCGGGCUGUGUGGCUGAGCUUCACUUUGGGCCUCCAGCUCUCUCCUGGGUAUUUUAGGACCCAGUUCUCUGCCUUGAGAGUUUUCUUAGCAUUGUAGGGACUACUUCUGGACUUGAGGCUCACAAGUUCACCAAGACAAAAGGCUGUAUGAACACAUACUAGAUGAAAUUAUGUGCAAAUAGCAUAAGGCUUAGGGUAGAAUAGUAAAAAAUACAAACUUUGGAAUCAGACAGCCAUGUAACUUAAUCUAAAAUGUUAUUUAUCUCCUGCCAAUUUGUUCAUUAGUCCGUGUAAUGAAGGUAAUUCCUGUCUGGUGGGUAGACAGCUAAGGGCACAUAUGUAGAUGUCUCAGUACAGAGUCACAUACAGGAUGCUUACGUUUCAGUUUUCACCUCAUCUGAUUUCCGGUGCAUACCUAGUACACUUCCUUUAGUUCAAAUUUAAAGUGGUUAUAUUUUUCUUUCUCAAAGCAGAGCACUUAACAGUUUAAGCCAAGAUAUUAUUUUUUGGGGGGCUCCUAUGGAAAUACUUUAUUAUAAUUUAGACGAAAAGAUGAACAAAGAUUUAGCACUUCCAUGUGGCAGUUUUAAGUGAAAGUUUUUGUAAAGAGCGGAAUGAAAAUAUUCUAGCCAGCCUCCAAAGUUUACAUCCACAAGUUCAUCUGAGGAAGGAGGCGUUUCACACAGCCCAUGGAAUACACUCAUUGUUACGUUAACAUGCUAGUUACCUGCUCAUCUUACUGAUGGAGAAUUCAGUUACGGUAGCUCAGGUCUGUUCUCCUCAACUGCGCUCUAGACAGGCAGUCUUGUGAGGGAAUACACUCGUAAUCCUCAUCAUUUCAAGUAUUUAAAUGGAUUUAGAAAUCUUGGCAUGCUCACCACCUAUGAAAGGGGUACUUCCUAAAACAUCCACAGGAAGCUGCUGACAUCUUCCAGCUCAAAGCGGGCCCAUACAACCUUCUCCUCAACGCUUUUGGUAACUGCUGGGACCAGAGAGAAACUCUACACACACCGGCCUCACCCCUGCUCAGUAAGUCAGUUACUCCAUCUUUGUCUUCAACUCACAACUUGUAAAGCUUCCUGCCAUUUAGCAAGUGACUGUUUGGCUUCACUGAGAGACAUGAAACGGCUCCCUCCCUCUUGGUCCAUGCUUCCUUUUGUUUCUUUCAAGCUGGCUGGUACAUCAUGUUCGCUCCCUCAUAAACCAUGAAGGUCCACAGUGUUGUAGGCUGGUGGCCAAUUCUUAAACCCUUAUCAGUUCAAGUACCUAAUACAUAUGUGUCUGAUUUUGAUUGUUUCCAUAGAGUGGUUUAUAAAUGGUUCAGCAUCAAAACCACCCAGUAAAAACAUAAAAAUAUAGACAAAGGGGACCACAAACAGUUUGGUAUUAUCAGGUCUGUUGUGGGGGGCUUGGGAAUAUGCUUUUCUAACAAGUUCCUGGAUGUUGAAGAUGUUGCUGGCCUGUUUUUGAAGAGAUGGGCAUGCACAUUUUGAACAUGUUUUCAUAUACUUCACUUCUUCCUUCUUCUUACACAAAGACAGGUCAUAGAGAGGAUUCUCUGCAACUACGUAUACAAUAGCACACCUUUCGACUGUGUGAUCUGCAUCAGCCUCAGCCUUUUAGACAGGAGGAAGCCGUCUAACCCAAUGCCACUGGAAGAGUUGUCCAUCACUUAGUAACAACUAGAAAGGAGGUUCAAGUGAAGAUGCUGUUCUGAGAAAGACUCCAGAGAAUCCAUCACCUCCUCAGAGGGAGCCUGCUCAGGUAGAGAAUUCUGUUUACUGACUAAACAAGGGAAGGUUACCUCCCAAACCCUUCUUUCUUUUAUAGAAAGAUUGGAACAUGAGGGGAGGGGGGGAUGAAGGGUCAGCACAUGGGUCAUGGAAGAGAGGACAAGUUCUAGAAAAUGGAACUGUUGCUUUACUCCCAAGUAACCCGUUUGGGAAGAUUCUAGAUGCAAAGGCUAUCUCUUCAACCCAGAUGGCAGCUGCAUCUCUAUGUAUUUUACCACACAAGAAGAGUGACAUGAUUUAAAAGAAGGUAUGGGGAGGCCAGGCUGGAGUUCAGUCUUCACCCCCUACGGCUGCUUAGAGGAGGAGGGAGACUGAGGGAACGAUUUUGCCAAAGCAGACAUGUAGGGUGCCCAGCAGACCUGGGAUCAAUUGCCCCUUUGGUGAGCAAGGCUGGACCAUUUAUACCGAAGAAGAAAGUAACUACUCUUUAGAGUGCAUUUUCUCUUAAUGCUUGGUGACUUUGGAAUUUAUAUAUUAAAAACUCUUAAAAAGUACAUUACAACUUGGUGCUGGUAACAUCAGUGGACGCUACAGGCUCAGAAGGGAGAGGCCGAUGAGGCACGGAGGUUUUUAGGACAGUGAAGCUAGUUUGUUUGACUCUGUAAUUACAAACCACACAUUUGUCUAAACACACUGGAUGUGUAACACCAAGAGUGCUCCUAAUGCAAACCAUGACUUUGACAACAGUGUCUAGUAUUUGUAUGUCAGCUGCAACAUGUGUGCUCCAGGAGCACACACUUGUAACUGGGCUAACUGGAGAGAAGGAAGGAAGGGAACGAAGGAAAGGGAAAGAGAGGAGGUGAGAAGUGAUACAUGGGAAAAUGUACUUCCUGCUCCAUUUCUCUGUAAACCUAAGAUUGCUCAAAAAAAAAAAAAUAAAGUUUGUUAACUGAAAAACAAAAUUGACCUUCUACCUGGAAUUUCAUUGCUACCCUCAAAUAAGCUACCAAUAAGAACUGAGUCAACCCAAACCACACUGACAUUGCUCUUUCAUAGUUUCUAUACACUUCUACCACAGGUCUGUAACUGUAGGAAGAACAAUGGACUGGAUCAGAACGUAGGCAGAGAUACAGAUGACUUUCUCCAUGCACACAGCACCGAAUGAGCUAGCUCAUUUAGCUCAUGGUUUUCUUUCUUUCUCUCUCUCGCUUCCUUUCUUUCUUUAAAAACAGAUCACCAGCUACUGUACUUGGUGACUAUAAGGAACAAGUGGCUGUGAAUGUGUCCCCUAAACUGCAUGGUAUUGUGCAAAAUCAUUAUAAAUCAAUAAUGCCAUUUACCCAAGGUCACGGAGCUCCCUUGGAGACAAUGCUGUAACCUAGAUAACAACUUGACUCCCACCUAAAUUACUUCCUUUCUUGGGAUAAGGUUUCAGAGACCCUGUUUUCUCUUUUAUCAGGAGGGGUGUCCAAGCUGCUCACAAGCUGAGGUGUCAGUCUGGCUGCUUGUGAGCUCAGAGUGACAUUGCCAAGACAGGCACAUUAUAUAAUCUUCAGCUGGGCUGUGGUGACCUAUUACCCUUCCUAGACUCAGUUAAGAGUUGUUCUUGGAUGAUACAGCAUAACAAAGACCAGCUCGUGCCAGCAGAGAGAACCGCACCCAUUUCUGAUGAAAUCCCUACCAACAGCCAGCUGCACAAUCACCCUUUCAAGUCAAUCUGGGGCCACAGGUGAAGUGUUCCCUGGGUACCCACAGGGACUGGGAGAAGGCAGAGUUCACCACUGGGAGUGACACUCCUGGAUCCUAGGCCCUGAGCACCCAGGGCUGCCACGUUGAGCAAACCAGAGGUCAGAGUGGAGAGGGAGGGGGCCAGCUGCCUGUGCCAGGCAAGGCAGGGCUGGCCCUUUUGAGACUUAAUAAGAAACGAUCUGGCAAAAAUCUCCCCUUUCUUGAAUCCAGCAUCCAAGCUGGCUUCUGAAAUGCUACUCAGGCAGCUUCCCCUGCAUUUUCCACUAGCUGAGAACUGACUAGAACAUUCCUAUAGUUGUAUAUAGAGAUUUUGGCAAUUUUCACUGAUUUUCUGAUUCUUUCAAGGGUCUAUGAGUUUUCAAUUUUGACACAGUUAACUGAAUCCAGUGUUUUCUUGUUUGUUUUAUGCCUACCCUGAUAAUUAACUUCCUAAAAUCCUUUGCUUUGUUCAGGGGAAAGCACUUCUAUUUGCCUUUGAACAGACACGAAGACACAUGGCUGGGUGUGGUGGCGCACGCCUUUAAUCUGGGCACUUGGAAGGCAGAGGCUCUGUGAGUUCAAGGAUGGCCUGAUCUACAUAGUGAGUUCUGGGCCAGCUAGGGCUACAUAGUGAGACCCUGUCUCAACACACACACACACACACACACACACACACACACACACACACACACACACACACACACACACCAGCUAAUAGAACAAUGGUGUUCUUUCUGAGCUCUUUCAACUGGGUUUACAGAACAGAAAACUCAAGACUUAAGCUCUGUCCAGGGUCACUGCUUUGCUGCUACUGUGAGGGCAGGCUAGGAACGUGCUACCAUUACUACUGCCCACAGAGUUCUCAAGGAACUGAAGAGCUGGUGUGUACUUACUGACCCAAAAGUGGUUUGCAAGGAGAGUGCCCCCUCUGAAGAAUGCCGGAGCUCACCUAUCCCAUGCCUAUUCCCAAUCUCCAGAGGGUCACAAGCUUCAUCAUACAGGUUGUCUCCGACAGCACUUUAUAAGUUAGGGAGUUUCGGGGCUAACAAGUACACAAGACGCCACCCCACCCGACCCUGCCCACCGCCAUUUUUUUCUUCUUUGUGGAACAGACUCUAGCGGGAAGGCCAGUGAAGGUGACAACUCAGAGUCCCAUCCACCUGUAUAUCCCUCUCUGUACAUGUCCUUCCCCCUUCCCCAUGAGACUCUCUGCAGGCAUUCUACGAAGUGUCACUGUACAGAGUCAGGUCUUACAGGACUGUCAACGUAUGCACUAGAGAAAGACAAUCCACUUCACAGCAUUUUUCAGGUGGAGCUUUAUACCUCUUUAUAGACUUCUUUGUUUUGUUUUGUUUUUUUAAAUGGCUACACACCCAUGGUAGCAAUGAUACUACUGCCUGGUUCUAGCAGCCAAAGUCAGUACUAUAAUCACCAAGAAUGAGUUCAAGAGUUAAGGGAAAGGAGUUACAAAUGUAGCUAGGAUGAGUGGCAGCCUAGUGGACUGUUUGCUGGAGGAAAGAGCAGGAGGGUGGCUGAGUCCAUUUUUUUGAGUUUAUUAGAUCUGUCUUGUUGGGUGAUAUGUGUGUAUGAAUACUGAUUGUAGGCAUAAAAGCAUGCGCUCUCCUGGGUGGUGAAACAUUCUCUCCACAGCUCUAUCGAACGUUUGCUGGCACAACCCUCACACUCUGCAGCCUGGAAGCCCAGAGUCUCAGUCAGGUGGUCCCCACUCCCCAUGCUCCCCUUCAGCAUUUCAUAUCCUUUAGGGCAGAGGAUGGUUCCUGCUCCAUUUUCUGUCAGAAACCAUCGAGCACACAGACUAUGGAAAAUCCAGAGCAUUGCUGGAGCUGCAUACAGAACUGCAGGCCGGAUGCCACGUGCUUCCCAACACACAGAAAGGUGUCCAUAAAAUGCACAGGAAGGAGGCGGUGGCCCCACUCCCUCUACCCCAGAGGACAGAACAUGUUAGGAAGUUAGGUGGGGGAACUUAAGCUCGGCAAGUGCUUUGUGAAGUUGCCACCAACAGGAACCCAAGCUCAGGCGCAGAGGGUGGGGUGAGAGCCUAGCUGGCUGACUGGGAGGCCGCUCAAUGGUGCUGACACACAGUUUCCAGCCACGGAAAAGUUGGUGCCAAAUCCCUCUCCACUUCUCUUUCACCCUGAUAUUCUUGAACUUGGCCAUGGUGUCAGCUAAUUCCAGGAGGCGUUCUGGGAAUCAUAUUUAGAGGGCAGCACAAGCUGUCUCCUCACUUACAGCAUCUAAAGGGCUUCCGACCAAUGCUUAUGGCCUCCCAGGUUAGGCCCAAAACUGUUGCUAUGGCACUGGGGGUACCGAAACAUUGAUAUUGCUGCCCCAGGAAUUUAUCAAGGCACUCCCUUCCUCCAAGCAUCCUCCCUUGAUUUCCAGAAUCAAAGUCUAAACCCGUCACUGUAUGCCUGAAUGGAGCAAUGCGGCUCCAUUGGUAAUGCCACAUUACCAAUGCCAGGACAAAGCAGAGCUGGUGAAAACUAGGCACCACAGGUCAGGGUGAAGUUGGCUGCACGCUCAUCAGGCUCUGCUCCCUCUACAUGGCUAGCAGGGGCUCCAAUAUUAAGGCACUCUGAUUCUAAUUUCCCUAAGGGAGUCUUUCCUGGAUGGCUGUGACAUUUUACUACACAUUUCCUCCAAACAUCCACAGCCUUGAUCUUAUCUAGCUAGGAUCCACAAAAGGCCUCCAUGCCAGCCCUUGGACUACCCUUGGCAGAAAGUUACUGUCCCUGUACUGAGGAGUGCCCGCCGGCCGACUAUAGAGCACCCCACUCUCCCAGGUCAAGCAAAGUGCAAGCCUUGGGCCACUUCUGCUUUCCAACAGAAGGGAGUGACUGACGCGCAGGCAGGCAGAGGCGGGCACUCACUUCCCAUUCUGAUCUUUUAACCUUGCUAGCAGCUGCUUUCUGACUGUUUACUUCCUGUGUCUUCUUAUCAACUGCAGACAAACAAGCUGGGGCCAGCUCUCCUCACGCUUUCCAAUUAUCUCACCGAGGUCCCUCAGAGACCUUUCAAGCUGCAUGCUUUGCUAAUACAAUUUAUUUGCUUGCAACAUUCAAGGAGCAGACCUUUUCGCGGGGGUGGGGGGGGGGGGAGGAAGAAAGAAAAAAAAAAAAAACCCAGAUCCUCACCUUGCUUUUUGGAUACAAAUUGCAUUAGGCUUUUAAGGGAAGCAUUUUCCAAGAAGGCAAAGCUACGGGCCCCGCCCCUGCCGGGCAGAAGCACUCCAUUACCUGAGGGGGGAUUACCAGAGAGGAGUCCACAGCUGUGAGAAAGAGUCAGCGUGGGGCUUAAGGGAUGUCAGAUCAGACACUCUCCUGUUUGUCACUGAGUGAAGCUCCUGGGCGUGAGUCACCUGGGUGUGGAAGCUGUCUGCCUGGUGGGUCGAGGGUUCCUCUAGCCUCCUGUCUUGACACUCCACUCUCUCUCUCCCACCAGAUUUGGCCACCAAGGAAUAUUCUUCCGGGUCAAGUGGAAGCGAGGGUAGAGGUGUUUAAGCAUAGACUCCCAGUGAAUUUUCACAGGAGCCGUAUGCUCUCGGCCUCACCUCUUGUCAUCUCCACACUCUAGCACUUGAGGUGGUCACCUGGGAGCCGUGCUGGCUGUCCACAGCUUGGAGACCUAAACCCCAUCUAACCACAAAGCUCUAGGCCUGCUGAUUUAUGCAUUAGCCCGCCAGCAUUACCUAGGAGAUCCUCUUUCAGGCUCUCCUCCCUAUCCCCCAUGGGGCUGUUUCUGCCUCUUUUAAAAAUGAUUAAUUCCAUACGUUAGGGAGAUGAGGCAGUCCCGGUGACAGAGGCUGUGGGCUCCUGACCCCCAGGGCCGUGUGCAGGUGCACCCACAAUGCUACCUGCAAGUGUCCCUGGACGUGUGGCCUGGGGCAACCGGAGGCUGAACUGUGGCUCAGCGUCUCUGGUCCAGUCGUGGGACCCUGCAGAGGCUGGUCUACCUGUACGAGCUUUAGGUUCCCAGGUGUGAACCGUUGACAUCUUGCUGGGUGUAGGAGGAACAAGAGGCAACAUACAGAGUGUGCGUCUCAUCCAAGUUGAUUAAUGAUAACCUAGGACAGGCCGUGGUUAGCCAGUCAGCCCUGCCUUUGCCAUGGCAGCGCAUCCCUUCCAGCAGCAUCAGUGUGCUCCAGCCAUUCAAGACACCUGGCGAAACACAUCCUCCUCAGCCACUUCUGGGUCCUGGACCAUGCCAUCUAUCAUGGAGGAGAGAAGCACUCAGAACAUCCCAGGAUACUCUACCCAGUCACCCCACUUCUAUUUAGUUCACUCAGAAACAUUUCUGAAAAAAAAAAAAAAGCCUAAGACUACGAGGCGGAAUUUCAAGAUACAUAAGUGAAAUCUAUGUUUAGUUAGUGAAACAAAUCCAUUUAUUUUUAAAAAGCACUCUUCCUUUUAAUGUUUCUUGUGCUUCUAACAUUCAAGAAGAAUUCAGGCUUCUUUCUUGAAUACAGUAGAAAAAUGGGCUACUGCGUCUUUCUGGGAAUCAUGUAUUUUAUCUCUUACCUGUAAUGCCCCCAUUUAUGUAGUGUUUAAAUCCUCCUGGGCAGAUAGUUCAGAGUGGAUUCCUACCCAAUAUCACCGCCUUUCAACUUAACAUCUACAGACAAGCACAAAUCCUCAGUUCAAUGGGCACAGAACAAAGCCACUGAUGUAAAAAUUAGACAAAAGGGCAGGUAGCAUGUGUAUGACUGGGGAAAUGCAUACGUAGACCAAGAUUAAUCAAACUCCUUAAGCUAUCACCAUGACUGGAGUUCCUGGGAGAAAAGGCAACCUUAUUUAUUUCUUUUUUUUCCGUCUGAGCAGCCAGGGGCUAUGUGAGGUCACUCUGUAGUCACAGCUUGCCUGGGAACUGAGGUGAUGGAGGCGACAUCAUUUCUAUAUAUUAAGCUGCAUCUGCAUCAUAGGGGGCAGGGGACAGAAGAAAGUAAGUUUCUCCAGCCCCUGGAGUCAUAGCACUGCCUUCCCACAGGGGCUGCAAGCAAGGGUCAGGUCUACUGGUGAACCAAGACUAAUCCCAGGACUCAAUCCCAGAAUCCGUGGACCUUUCUCUGAAUCCACAGAAGCCCCACCGACACUGGAGAAGGGAAAGGCACAGGGGUCUUCCCACAUAGGGUGUCAUUAAAAUCAACAUGGCUUAGUGACAACGAAGGCAGCAGCCGAGCAUCUCCCACACGGAUGGAACUACGAGAACGCUCCUGGCAGCUCCUCUGUCUGUCACCCUGUGGCCUUCUGUUUGCUGGCUGCUGUGCUUAGGCCUGCCCGCCAGCUGUUGCCCUCCACACCCUCCUGCCACCCUUCUGGCCUUAUCUGUCCAGCCCCAGAUGGAUGUGUGAGGUGGCAUCAAUGAAUUUAUAUACCAGAUGCUCAAUGGGGCACUGAGGUCCAAUGACUUGUAGGGGAUUACAUGCCUAUGAAGAAGCAGAGCUGGCACUCAAACCAGGAGCUUCCGUCCCCACAUCCAAUCCUUGGGGAGGGAUGGGCUUUGUGGGAAUAGCACUCAUGCAACAAGAGAGGGAGAAGUGAUGACUAAAGGGAGGGAGAUGAGGACCUAUGUCAUGGGAUGCCUGAGUGACAUUUAAUUUAUGGGUGAAUGGCUGGGAAUUUCUCAACUGCAAGAUAGAGUUGUUUCUUUUCCCCCUAGCGAUAGCAAGAAAUGCACAGUUGCUCUUGACGGACAGGACAGGUCUUGUUACCUUGACUGUGGGUUGUUUCCUGACUGAACUAGAAAAGGUGAGAGAGCUGACACAGUGAGCCUGUCUCACGGGGGAUUGUCUAUUUUGAGAAAAGGUCUCAUGUAGCCCAGGCUGGCCUCAAACUCCUGAAAUCUUGUCUCCACAUCCUGAGGGCUUGGAUUACAGGUGUGAGCCACCACAUGCCUAGCUGUGACGUUUUUAUGCAGGUUGGCCAUUACCAAAGGGAGACGUGUGCCUUCGGGACAUGCAUGUAGGCAGAGGGGCUCCAUGCCCGCACUCAAGCAACUUCCUCAUCCUACCCACCCAUGUUCGUUCAUGGCUACUCAACUCUCCUUCUCCUACAUCAUACCCCACUAACCAGAUGCUAGCUUUGGGAGAUGAGGCUCCUUUUCUAGGUCUGUUGCCUCUGUCUGAAAGGUGCGGUCCUUGAGGUACCGGAAGUUCUUUUACCUUCUGAAUGGCCACCUGAGACUUUCCCCUUGGUCUCCUGCAUGGCCUUUUAGCAGCUGUUACUGAGCAGAUCUUCCAGAAGCUCUGGAAUCUUAGCCAGUAGGCUAACGGAGAGCAGUGGAAGAUUUAAACGUCAUCUUCCCCUAUCAGGCAAGUGGUGUCCUUCUUGCUGACCACAUACCACUAAAGAGCCUUUUUCAAGGAUUCUUUCGAAGACAUGCAGUGUACAGAAGGGAGUGGCCCUGCCAGGCUUUCCCUUCCAUCUCCGACAGCAGUCCCCUUUCUGUCCUUUACUCUGCAGUAACAACAGCAUCCAAGGGUUGACCUGUCACACAGCUUUGUUUCCUGCCCAGGAUCAGUGAGUAGGAGGCUUGCCUCAGAGGAGAUGCUGGGGAGGCCUCUCCUCCUGACUGAAGCAGCGUCCACAUAACAUGAGCUCAUGGGGUUACAACACAGGCAUAUGACCUGCUCCACUAUAGCUCUGAGGGCCCAGGAGACUGACACCCCUUGUCUGGUGAAGCUGAACACUCUCAGAUCCUGUCCUGCUAUGUCUAACUCUCCAUGUCAGGGAAUUCAUGUGGCACCAAGCUGAAUCACCACUACAAACAGCACUGGCAAAAGGCUUUGGCUGGGGGCUCUAACACUCUUCCGUGCCAUCUUUAGACCCAAAACAACAGGCUCCCCGGCUGUGCUGACAUUCAGAGUUAAGAACCCUUCGAUGCGCUACAUUUCCAUGCUUUCUGACAAGACAUCUCAUCCAAUCAAAGCAUGGUGCAGACAGAAAGCACAAUGCAUGCCCAGGUCCUCCGAGUAUUAAAUGCAGAGGACUCUGACCAGGCUGUGUGGCAGCCAAGGAGUCACUCUGGCUUUUAAUCCCAGUCAAGUGACUGCUCAGGAGACGUCAGCAAGUCUCCAUGAUUGAGACAGAAGCCCAAAGGGCCCCAGACUUUUCUAUGACCAUACUGUAAGGUAAUUAACAGAAAGUUUCACAAUCAGCCCUGGAAAGAUGUAAAGACAGAACACAGCCAGAUACUUGAAAGAAGAGCCCAGGUCACCAUGCAUGCAUGUGGCAAUGAGCAGGCUGAUAAAACACGGGCUUAUUUGCCAGUGUCCACCACUGGAGGAAGAGAAUCAGAGGGCUCUGAUGUCCCAUUAGAGUGUCCUGACCCUGUGGGAACUGGCUCUGAGUCUGUCUGCUCCCACCUGACCAGGUCUCACCAGCACUCUGCCAGUGGCCUCCCACCCAAGUGCUACAGGAGGUGAUUUCUGAAACCCACCUUAACACCUUCUAAGCUAGGUGUGGGCAGGCACUGACCCCAGGCUUACUUUCAUCUACAUCUGUCCUGGUUCUAGUACCAACGAAGUGCCACCCAAAGGCUUAUGUGCUAAAGGCUUGUUCCCCAACUACAAUAUCUGAUCAUUGAGAAGUGGCUCCAAUUAGGAGCACUGUCUUAAUCAAUGGAUCAAUCCUUUGGAUGGCAUCGUUUAACGGUCGAAACUUCCAGAGGUAGGGCCUAGUUGGAGGAAGUAGGUCAUUGGGAAUUUCACUGUAAUUUUUGGUCUCUCUUUCUUAUGUGUGUGUGUUUGCCCAUGUGAACUCACCUGGGCAUGUACACAUGGAGGCUGAAGGUUGUCAAUGGGUGUGGUCAUAGUUAGCUCUAACUGCCAACUUUGGCACAGUUGAGAGUCACCUGAGAAGGAAGUCCCAAUGGAGGAACUGCUCAGGUCCAGUUGGCCUAUGGGCAUUGUCGAGGGGGCAUUUCUUUGCUUGCUAAUUCAUGUAGGAGGUCUCAGCAGCACCCAUUCCUGGCUUGUAGUCCUGGGCUCUAAGACAGCUAGUUAAGUCUGAGCCUGUGAGGAAAGCUGCAAGCAGCAUUUAUUUCUCUCUCGUUUCUGUUUCAAGGUCUCGCUGGAGUUCCUGCCCUUGACUUCCUCAAUGACGGACUGAUCUGAAAGUGUAAGCCAGAGAAGCUCCUUUCCUUUGGUCAGUGCUGUAGCACACAGGCAGAAAGACAACGGGGCCGGUUGUCCUCUACUGCUCUCCACACUGUUUUGGUUUUUUUUUUUUUGAGCCAGGGUCUCUCAUGGACCCUUCUGCUCAUCAUUGUCUAGUCCAUCCGGCCAGCAAGUGCCAGGGAGGUGCUUGUCUCGGUGGCCCCAGCACUGGGGUUACAGGCGUGCCCCACCAAGCCUGGCUUUUAACGCGGGCGCCGGGAUCUGAACUCAGGUCCUCGUGCCUGUACAGUAAGCGCUCCACUCACUGAGCCACCUUCCGGGCCCAGAAUUGGCCUUUAAAGGAUGGCAUCUCUUUCUGUCCUCUGGCCUCCGAGGUGAGGAGGUGAGUAACUGUGCUCUGCCAUACCCUUCCCCCACAACGCUCUGCUUCACCACAGCUCAGAAACAAGAGAGCCAGCUCGCCAUGGACCAAAGCACCUGAAAUCGAGCCAAAACAAACCCCCCUUCUUCGGCUGUUUAGCAGGCAUUUGUUACUGUGACGGCAGACAGAACGAACCACACAACCCUCACUCCUGAGGGCGCGUCCUCUUUCUCUCUGCUCACCCGGGGCUCCUCUCUCCUUACUUUCCCCCCUUUUCAGACCCUUUUCAGAAACACGCUCUGCUGCUUUUUCCCCCCCUUCCUACCCCAGACCAGUCCCCACCCCAGUGCCGCAUGCAGGGUAGUUAUAGUGACCAGAUAUGACGGCGAGAACCUUACAAAUGGCGAGAGCUGCAUACAGAAAGCACUGGCAAGGUUUUCCUUCAGCAGUCACAUGGGCUGUCUCGAUUGUCGCCUCUGUGUGCGCACAUGUGUGUGCGUAUACAGGUCAGAGGUUGACAUCAAGUACCUUCUAUUGCUCUCCAUCCUUUGCUUUCUUUUUCUUCCUUUUUAUGUGUAUGACUGCUUUGCCUGCACGUCUGUCUGAGCACCCACCUGGUACUCAGAGGCCAGAAGUGGACACUGGAUCCAUCCCACCGGUACUGGAGUUACAGGUCAAAGUAGCAAGUGUUCUUAACUAUAGAUCCAUCUCUCCAGCCUCUCAUCUCUUACUUAAAAACAUGCAUUUACCAUUUAGUUGUCAAGUUACUUUGUGUAUGCACAUGGCAUGUGAAUCAGCUCUCCUCCAACCAUGUUGGUCUGAGGAAGUAAACUUGAGUCAUCUGCCCUGUUGGCAGGUGGCUUUCCCCACGGAGCCAUCUUGCCAGCAUUUGCACGAGGUUUUGGGACACAGCCUCUUCUUCAAUGUCACUGGUUACCUAGACUGGCUGGCCGGUGAGCGCCAGGGAUCUGCCUGUCUGGAUUCACAGGCUUGGGCCGCCAGGUUUGGCUUCUCCACCGGUGCUUGGGACCUGAACUUGGGCUCAAGAACUCAGUACGGCAAGCAUCUUGCCCACUGAGCCAAUUCCCCGAGCCCUCGGAUGGUAACUGCUUACAUCAGUGUAUUUUCUGUUUUCUGCUAGAGUCUCACUACUCAAAGGGUGAGUCACAGACUUCCAGUGCUGGCACCCCAGGAAGGCUGGUGGUAGAGGUUAAAAAUCGUGGCAGUGACUGCUGAGUCAGAAGUGGGAUUAUAACUAUACCCCCAGAAGAUUUCUAAGCGCAUUAAAAUUUGCGAAACGUG